GAGUGAACGCUGGCGGUAGGCCUAACACAUGCAAGUCGAACGGCAGCACAGUAAGAGCUUGCUCUUACGGGUGGCGAGUGGCGGACGGGUGAGGAAUACAUCGGAAUCUACUUUUUCGUGGGGGAUAACGUAGGGAAACUUACGCUAAUACCGCAUACGACCUACGGGUGAAAGCAGGGGAUCUUCGGACCUUGCGCGAUUGAACGAGCCGAUGUCGGAUUAGCUAGUUGGCGGGGUAAAGGCCCACCAAGGCGACGAUCCGUAGCUGGUCUGAGAGGAUGAUCAGCCACACUGGAACUGAGACACGGUCCAGACUCCUACGGGAGGCAGCAGUGGGGAAUAUUGGACAAUGGGCGCAAGCCUGAUCCAGCCAUACCGCGUGGGUGAAGAAGGCCUUCGGGUUGUAAAGCCCUUUUGUUGGGAAAGAAAAGCAGCAGGUUAAUACCCCGCUGUUCUGACGGUACCCAAAGAAUAAGCACCGGCUAACUUCGUG
rnacentral:rRNA from 1 species